rnacentral:rRNA from 1 species
GACGAACGCUGGCGGCGCGCUUAACACAUGCAAGUCGAGCGAAGCUGCGGACGGGUGAGUAACCCGUGAGUAACCUGCCUUAGACAUUGGGAUAGCCUCGGGAAACCGGGAUUAAUACCAACUGGUCUAAGCUGGACUAGCGUCCCAUUAGCGAGUUGGUGAGGUAACGGCCCACCAAGGCGACGAGGGGUAGCCGGCCUGUGAGGGGGAACGGCAACAUGGGAACUGGGAAACGGUCAAAACUCUACGGGAGGCAGCAGUGGGGAAUAGUGCACAAUGGAGGGAACUCUGAUGCAGCGAGGCCGCGUGAACGAAGAAGGCUGUCGAGUCGUAAAGUGCUUUUAUAUGGGAAGCGGUACCAUAAGAAAAAGCCCCGGCUAACUACGUGCCAGCAGCCGCGGUAAUAC